UGCCAGCCGCCGCGGUAAUACGAAGGUGGCGAGCGUUGUUCGGAUUUACUGGGCGUAAAGAGCACGUAGGCGGUUAGGUAAGCCUCUUGGGAAAUCUCCCGGCUCAACCGGGAAAGUUCGAGGGGAACUACUUAGCUAGAGGACGGGAGAGGAGCGCGGAAUUCCCGGUGUAGCGGUGAAAUGUGUAGAUAUCGGGAAGAAGGCCGGUGGCGAAGGCGGCGCUCUGGAACGUACCUGACGCUGAGGUGCGCAAGUGUGUGGAGCAAACAGGAUUAGAUA
rnacentral:rRNA from 1 species